UUUCAAUUACCUAUAACUUUCGUUCAUGUUGUCUCCUCAUAUUAUGUUUUGAAAUAUUUUUGAAAUAAUAAAAUUGAUUUACAACUCAUGUUUUUAGUUUAAAAUUCAAUUUUUCAAAAAUAUUUCGAAACAUGAUAUGAGGAAACAACAUGAACGAAAGUUAUAGACGAUUGA
rnacentral:miRNA from 1 species